ACUGUAAGAAUUCUCUCUCAGUGUAGGAAAGGGGAAUUAGAGAAACUACAGUUAUAAAUACCUGGCCUUUCAGGUCAACAGUAAAUAAAAAUAAAGGCCUGACAAAAAUAGACACACAAAUGCUGGAGCUGAGGUAGUGUUUCAUCUUUUGAGAAUUUCAGAAGAAUUACUGUGGGAAAAUGGAAACCCACCAAAACAGCAUUUAUUAAAUUCCUAGUCAAAACUUCUGCAUCUCUGUAAAGACCAAAAUGAAACCACAAGCGAUCAUAGAUGGAAAAAAAACUGACUUCCCUAAUAAGGUAGCAUUUCAUCAAGGUGGUGUGAUAGCUGAUCUUUGUGGAGAAACUUGUUCAACAACAAGAAGGAAUACAGGUUGUGUAUAACAGAGUAACUGCUGAUUGAGUGAGAACACUGUUGAGUUUCAGUUGUUUUCUGCCUACUUGGAGGACAAUCUGUAGAAAAAUAUAAUUAUAUUUUGACUUCCCUUGCCCCCUUCCAACCGCUGGCAUGUGUUGCAAGAGUAGAAACCCACUUCUUCAGUUUCCUGGAUAAAUUAUAAAGACAGUUUCUGUGGCUUGUAUUGGACUCCUGAGCCUGAUACAAAUUGUUUGAAGUUACUUUCUCUGGUCCAUCUUCUUUAGCGCAGGCAAAAGUAGUUGAUUUUGUAUUGAUUGCAUAGCACCGAGGUCUGUUCUCCUUGUAGGGGAGGGGGGACCUGGCAAACAACGUGCGGGGAUUUAAAGCUUGUUCCUUUCUUCUACGUGGGCAGUCACGAUGCCCAAGAGGCCAUUAACAAAUGGCUUUUUGUUGUGCAGAACAUUAGGGUCAAAACAUACUAAUAGUUGUUUGUUACCUAGAAAACCGGGGGAAAGAAAGUUCUCUAUUCAGCCAAGUUUGGAAAAUGCCAGUUAAACAGAGUUAAGUAGGAUUGAUUCUUUGCUGCAAGGUUCAAGGGCACUUUCUCUGGGCAACUCACUGUAACAGUGAAUGUGUUGCCUGGGAGUAUCGUGUAGACAUCUUUCAGGCAUUCUGGGAGUUCUACAGUGACUAAAGACGUAGUUCAGGAUAAGAAAAUUCUUCAGUGAAAAUGACUCACAUAACACUUGAGUCCAUGUAUAUUUUUCUCUCACUCUUGAAGUAGAUGAUGGAAUAAGAAGAUUGUUUUCACUUUUAUUUAUUAAUUUUAUUAGCUGAAAGCCGGAACAUGUCUGAAUCCUGGCCGAAUGCACUGGGGGGAGGUAUAACGUUGCCUUUUUAAAAAAAGUUUUAUUGAGGUGUAAUUGACAUAGAAUAAAUUGCUUAUAUUUGAAGUAUAGAAGUUGAUUCGUUUUGACAUAUGUGUACACCUAUGAAUCCAUCACCCCCCGACAUUUCAAAUCUAGAACACUACGGAGAAGUUUGGGAUGGGGCUUUGGGCUUCACGUCAUUGGCACACAGAUGAAAGUUGCAGUCGUGGCUGAGAACGUCUGCUGAGCGCCACUAAUAACUGCUACCAUCUGAGUGACAGCAGUCACUUGCCAACCUGCUUUUAGCUACUGCAUUUCUGAGGUUACACCGUCUAGUAUUUGGACAAAAUAUUUUAAAAGCUUCGAUUCUCUUAUGAAUGCAAAUUUCAGUUUAGUUCCUUAAGCCGAAGAAUAACUAUCCAUCCUUCCUCUCAGAGACCACGUGGGUGUGUCAGGGACGUAGUACAGGGAGGGAGAUUUGUUUAUGCUGUACCUUCUCACCAGAGAACUCCACAACAAGCCCGGAAAAAUGUGUCCUUAAGCCCUACCUUAAUUUGAGAAAAGGCCCUGCAGUUAUGCUGGUAUUUUGCUGAGACUUGCAAAAUUGAACAAAGAGGAAUGCAAGUGCAAAUGAAGUAGGAUUUCAAGCCAGUAAGACCUGGUUCUAAAGAUUUUUUUAAAAGGUACAGUCUGCAUGACAUUAAAAACUUGCCUAAGAGUCUGCUUCAGCAAAUCUCUGUAUCUUAGACUCUGGAAUAAAUAAAGAUGAUUCAGGAGAAGGGUUACCUACUGGAGCCAGAUUUUUUAAAAUGUCUUUUUACAUUUUGUUAGGAAUUACCAAAUUGUUUGAACAGGUUAGAGCCAGGUUUUUAAUACUGAUUUUUUUUAAAGGAGGUGUCCUCUGUAUGUCUGAUUUGUGGUGGUGUUUGAAAAGAUAUGUAAUAAUGCCAACUUAUGGUUUUUCCUUCUGUUCCCAAUUUGCUAGGAUUGCUCAAUCUCACUUUUCCAAUGUCUGUACUUUUGCAUGAUAUAAUGCCCCAGUGUAGGUACGGGAUUGCUGUGUUUGCCAUUUUGUGGGCAUUUGGUGUGAUGUCACGUCUUAGUGCCUUUGCACUGUUUCCCUUCAUCUGCCUUGUGAACUCUCGGCUUCUCCCCUGAAAACGCUUCACUUCCCAUUCCCCUCCCAUCAAGAAGAGCUGACCAAGUAGCUUUUUUUAUGUCACCUCUGCACAGAGUGAUCUCUCUGUGUUCCAGUAACUCAUUUGUUAUAGGUCUGCUCCCUUCCUAGAUCAAGAGGUUCUUGAGAGCAGAGACCUUGGGCUUUGCAUGGUGUCAGACACAUAGUAGAUGUGUCCAAUCAGGGGGCUUGCCAAAGAGAAGGAGCGAGGGAAGGAGAGAAGAAAAUACCCUUCUAAGGAGCCCCUGAAGAAUCUGAGCAGAAGGGACCUGAGACAUAGGAGGAAAACAAGAGAUAAUAGUGUCAUGGACGCCAAGGGAGCAGAGAAUUUGAAGAGGGAAAGGCUGGUCAUUUGUGCUAAUUGCCAGGGAGAGCCAAUGAGAUAAGUACUGAAAAUAUCCAUUGUAUUGUUAGGAACUGAGAAAAGAUUUCCUCAGCCAUGGUCACACCCUAGGUAAUGCUGCAGGUGUGUUAACAACACCAAGCAAAGAUGUGUUGGCAGUAAGUGGUGGCAGGUGACCUCUCAGAGGGAUGCAUCAGUGGAGUUCCUUGGCUUGGUGAUAUCCUUCAUUAUGACGUUCUAUACGAUGAUUUUUUUUUUUUUUCCUGGUGGCAAACCCACUGAAUAAUUGGUCCUCUCAGUUUACAAACUGAAUGAAGAGUUCAAAACUCAGAAAUAUUUGCAGGAUAUACAGUACAGCAGAGUCAGAUUGAGAUUUGGAAGCUAAUUGGUUGAAUCUUAACAGGCCUAAAAUCUUGGUGGAUCAUUUCUCGAAAGGUGAUAAUGAGCAAGAUGGUUACAGCUGUAAAACUGUACGGUUCUCAACUUGCAGCCUUCUCAAAAAAUCCCAAUAAUUUAGUAGUGCUACUUAAAAGCUAUCAAAAUUCACAAGGAAAUUAUAGCUGCGAAUGAGGAAAUAAAUGUCUUUCUGUGGAAUAUUUGAACAUUCUAAGAGCAAGAAGACAGUGUCUUCUUAGCAGGGGGAAUAACCUGUUCGUGAGAUGGUAACAGCGUUUAAUAAAAAAUACACAAGUUCUUAACAGGAUAGAGUCACAGAUGGAGAAAAUAAACUUAUGGUUACCAAGGGGGAAAGCAGGGGAGGGAUAAAGUGGGAGACUGGGAGUGACACACACUACUGUAUGUAAAAUAGAUAACUAAUUAGGACCUACUGUGUAGCACAGGGAACUCUACUCAAUACUCAGUAAUGACCUAUAUGGGAAAAGAAUCUAAAAAAGAAUGGAUAUAUGUAUAUGUCUAACUGAUUCACUUUGCUGUAGAGCAGAAACUAACACAACAUUGUAAGUCAACUAUACUCCAAUCGAAAUC
rnacentral:lncRNA from 1 species